GUUGUUACAUGUCUGACCCUGGAUAGAUGUAAUAGGCAUAGCUUGCAAAUUUAACAUGGCUUCUUCUUUUUCACAUAAAAUUCUAUAAAUAAAAAGU